UUCCACCAGAAUAACAGGAACCUACAGCAUACUGUGAAGAUGAUAAAAGUGUUAUUGUACUUCUUCACACAGCACACUGUUAAACUGUGGAACUCACUUCCACAGGAGGCAGUGAUGUGGACUGACCAAGAUGACUUUAAAAGAGAGGGCUGUUGAUUGCUACUAUCCAUUCCACUUUAUGUCAGUGGAAGUAUGUCUAAAGAAAGUAUCUGGGGCGUGGAGUUCAUCGGUUCAUAGACACCUUCCACAAGCAAUGGUGCGGUUCACGGAAAGGAACGAGAGACACCAGAAGACUUUGAUACCUUUUUGAACUGCUUGUAGAUUACUUUGCUGACUUGGUCUGAUGGCUGCACUUUACCAGCAAGCAGUGAAGAAAGCAUGUUGCCGAGGGUAACCAUUCCCAAAAUCAAUCUGAAAACAAGAAGGUAUCAGACAGAGUUUUCUACUGGGUGAGUUGUGGGUUCUUUCCUUUUUUUAUCAGUUUAAUGUUUUAGGCCAAUAUUGACAGAAUCCAUCUCAAUUUGAAUUCAGGGGUGCGUGCAGAAUCCUUAGGAGUAAAACCACAGGUUCUAUUUAAUAGCAUCCCAACACCAUUUUCUUUAUAAACUUCUGGAGGAAGGAGUUUAAGUUUGGAGAACUGGCAUGGAAGGGAUGAGGAACUUCCCUUGCUUACCGUUUCCCCUUUCCCAAUUGCUCCCCUUCCAAAAAAAAGUGUGCUAUAAACCUUUAAGAGGAAUAAUAAUUAAUAAUAAUACACUGCAGGAAUGUGUACCACAGUAUAGAUUAUUAUAAUUAUUAUCUUAUUGUCAUUUUAUUAUUAUUAAAUAUGAGUCAUUUUUCCAUUUAUGUACAACACUCAGAGCAACUUGCUUUGCUGGAUUUUCUUGCAAAGCUAUAUGCUUAGACAAAGACUUAUGAUGAACCAGUUAUAAACAGUUCCUAACACAGUUGCUUUUGGAUAACAUAAAAAGCCUUGUUGCUAUAAAACAAAGUUCAAAGAUGAUGUGUCUUUCUCAGUCUGUAUAAUUUGGAUAAAAUUGUGUGUUAGAGAAAGUUGGCCUUUCUUUUGCCUGCACUGCCUUUAUUGCAAAUGACGCUGAGUCACAGAAUAAACCUCGUUUAGCUACCGUUUGUUAACUGGGAUGAACUUUUGGGAGUGAACAUCCUGCCUGCAUUGCAACUUGUCCCUGUCUGACCCACCUGCAAUGCUGACCAUCCCACUGGCCUAUUUCAGACCUGGUGACUUCAGGACUAAGAUGCAAUUUAGGCUCAGUUAAUUAUUUUAUGGGUCAUUUGAAGCAGAUGACUCUGGCCCUCAAAAGGUAAUAAACCAUACCAUGAUUUUAAGAGAAGAUUUUUAAAAGCCACUCCUGUGACGGAAGUGACAAUCAAAAAUCUUUGUUGAUGUCCUAUAUAGCACAGGGAUAGAAAAACAAAAGAGAAGGUGGGAGGUUUCACUCCAAAUUAGUC